rnacentral:lncRNA from 10 species
CACAAGUGUAGUCAAUCAACAAGGUCCAUCCUGCUGAUGCUGGGUCUGGGAGGUUGGGACUGAGAUUUCCACUUUACAGAUGAGGAGACUGAGGACCCGGAGAGGAAGAGACUUGCCCUCAGAUGGCACUCAAACCUGAGUGUCACACCCAGAGGGCGGAGCACCGCCGGACAAGCGCCCUGUGUCUGGGUCUGUUUCACCGCCAGGUCUGCGGCCGCCUGGGCGGCUCCAGCCACGGGACUCGAGUCAAUCACACAAUGGCAGAAACUCGUGUCAAGAGCCUGCAGCCCCCACACUGAUGGAUGCCUCCAAUCUCAGCAGCAGAAUGUGUACGGAAUCGAUGCCGAUGAAAACAGUUUCAGUAAAAUUACAAAAGAAUGAAAAACAUGGACAUUUGUUUAACUGUACUACAGGGGAAAAACAAAAAUCUGAUCAAAGAAUUAAGUUGGAUGAAUAGAGUUCAAGCUGGAGAACACCUUCUUAAAACAUUUUCAGGGUUAGUAUGUUUUGGUUUAAAAUGUUUGCAUUCAAAACAUCCUUCGGGUCAAAAUAUCCGUAGUGGUUAAAAUAUCCUGUGUCCCUCUGAUCUGUUUCCUAUAACUCCCCACCUUCCAGCCACACUGGGCUCUUUCUGUCCCUGGAGCACAGCGAGUUUCCCCUCACUUGGGAGCUUUCUCAAAGCCUGUUCUCUCUGCCUUGAGUGCUCUUUUCCUUCUGACCCCUCCCUCCUCCUUCUCAUGGCUGAUAUUUAACUAUCACCUCUGAAAGACGCCUUCCUGCAUUGCUCUCUCUAGGGUAGUUUUCCUUCCUUCCCAUUUCCUCUUAUUCCCUUUUUUUUUUUUUUU